CGACGCCGAUGUUGCUGGCGAAUGCCGGCGACACGAGAUCGAUACCCUGCGGCAGACCGGCCACCGGUUUGCCGUCCGGUCCGCGCCCGGAGCGAUCGAUGGCUUNNNNNNNGAGCCCGAGCUUCUGGGCGGCUUCGGCAAUGUUCGAUCCGCCGCCGCGCUCGUCCUCGAUCUUGUUAUGCAGAUCCUGCAUCUGCGCCCGCGCACGCUCCAGCGCGAUCUCGCGCUUGAUCGUCGGUGCAACGGUCUCAUAGGUCGGGUUGGUGCCGGGUUCGAC
rnacentral:misc_RNA from 1 species